rnacentral:rRNA from 1 species
CAGUCGCCGCGGUAAUACGGAGGGGGCUAGCGUUGUUCGGAAUUACUGGGCGUAAAGCGCACGUAGGCGGCUUUGUAAGUCAGAGGUGAAAGCCUGGAGCUCAACUCCAGAACUGCCUUUGAGACUGCAUCGCUUGAAUCCAGGAGAGGUCAGUGGAAUUCCGAGUGUAGAGGUGAAAUUCGUAGAUAUUCGGAAGAACACCAGUGGCGAAGGCGGCUGACUGGACUGGUAUUGACGCUGAGGUGCGAAAGCGUGGGGAGCAAACAGGAUUAGAUACCCCUGUAGUCCCUGUCUCUUAUAC